CCAAUAGCGUAUAUUAAAGUUGUUGCAGUUAAAAAGCUCGUAGUUGAAUUUCGGGAUCAAUAUGUCGGUCGUGCCUCGGUACGUACUGGCAUCGUUGGUUUCUCCCUUCUGAAGAACCAUGAUGUCAUUCAUUUGGUGUCGUGGGGAAUCAGGACUGUUACUUUGAAAAAAUUAGAGUGUUUAAAGCAGGCUCACGCUUGAAUACAUUAGCAUGGAAUAAUGAAAUAGGACGUUUGAUUCUAUUUUGUUGGUUUCUAGGAUCGACGUAAUGAUUAAUAGGGAUAGUUGGGGGCAUUAGUAUUCAAUUGUCAGAGGUGAAAUUCUUGGAUUUAUUGAAGACUAACUACUGCGAAAGCAUUUGCCAAGGAUGUUUUCAUUAAUCAAGAACGAAAGUUAGGGGAUCGAAGACGAUCAGAUACCGUCGUAGUCUUAACCAUAAACUAUGCCGACUAGGGAUCGGAUGAUGUUAAUUUUUUAAUGACUCAUUCGGCGCCUUACG
rnacentral:rRNA from 1 species